rnacentral:ncRNA from 1 species
GUCCCUCCGAGCCCAACGUCUAAGGCAGCUUUGCUAUGGCGGCGGGCCGCAGGCCGCAGUCUCUGCGGCCGCCAGGGUUUCGCUGGAAACGGCGGAGCCUUCCGUGUUUGAGAAGGAGAGU